AUGACCAUUUGAAAAAUAAGCCGCAGGAGUUUUUUGAGCGAGAAUAAAGACGACUUUCGAGUAGUAACAUGUAUAAAAGCAACAGAUACCACUAAUAAGGGGCUAGAAGCGACAUAUAUGGUGAGCUACCGAGUAGCUAGGACAGGCAUGGCCCAUACUAUUGUGGAGGACUUAAUUUCCCUACUGCCGCGAAUAUGGCUGGGCUAUACAGACAAUUCCUUCAUCAAACAACACUGUUUCACGACGCAUCAGUGACAUGGUAGGAGAUGUUUUGAAACAAUUAAAUGAUAUGCCUUACAGCUGGAUGAGUCAGCAGAAGUGUUGGGCCUGGCACAGCUCCUGUUAUAUGUCCGUUACCUUUAUGUGGGUUCAAUUAAGCGAAACAUCCUUUUCUGCAAACCACAGGAAACCAUUACAAGAUGUUGGCCUACAUAAAUGGGUAGGGGGGCCCAUUGCAAUUUGCUGAACAAGCCAAAGAGGAUAAUACAAAAAGACUUGAUAUCAAACUGGGACACAUCACAACUUGAUCUCGUUCAUAAAGGACAAUGAACAAUGAUGCAAUGGAGAAGUGCAGAGAAGCAAUAAAGAUGUAGAGCAUUCCAUUAUUCAGGGUGAAAUAUGGUGUCUCUCCUCAGGCCGGUGGUAGCUGGUAGGGGACCGGGAAGGUGAGGAGCCGGAGGUCCCUCCGCCCCCUCUGGACAUCGAGGGGUCCCCGGCGUACACAGUACGUGCUGUUCUGGACUCUAGACGCCGGGUGAGGGGCCUGCAGUACCUCGUGGACUGGGAGGGGUACGGUCCGGAGGAGAGGUGCUGGGUACCGGUGGGGGACAUCUUGGAUCCGUCACUGUUGAGGGAUUUCCAUCGUCUCCAUCUGGAUCACCAUGCGCCUCGCCCUCCGGGUCGCCCUCGAGGCCUAUCCUUUUUCCCUUGUCUGUUGGUUUUGUCUUAUUGGUUACACCCGUUUCUUGUUUAGGUUUUAGUUGGGCUAUUUAAGCCGGUGAUUCCCACCUGCUUUUGUGUGGGCUUAUUUCCUCUGUUCAUGUUUGUGGUUAUGUGUUCUCCGGACUGGUUGGGUCCUGUUUUUGGGCUGGUCUUUGUUAUGCACCUGGUUGUCCUUUACCCUCUGUUCCCUGUGCCUGACUCCACACCCACUACUCAUAGAAGUGCGUUACAACCUUGUACAACUCUUUGGGCAACAUAUCAAUUGUUUUUGUCAAAAUUACUCAAGCUCAGUGCAUUUGGUUAGGAAUCAUUGGACAACAAUAUUUAAUGCUUGUCACUGACUUUCAAGCAGGACUGAGGCUACUAGACUAUUCAUGAACACUCAACACCUAUUGGAAAGCCGUUCUGGUGGGUCUUUGGCAUUAGAAUUUGUGUAAUUGUUCCUCUGAAAAAAAUGAACUAUCGGAGGGUUAGGUUUCCUGUCCUUUGCUCCUUUAAUACUUAUUUUGAGCCAAACAUACUCCCCAGCCCCUUCCAGUAACAAGCUUAGCCAUAGCACGAUGCUGCCACCACAGUACUCAUCUUAUUCAAAAUUAUUCACAUCUUUAAUGGCUGCUAAUGGUGCUUCCACCAAGUAGUAAUUAUGGCAGUGUCGCUGGAAAACGAAUGGUGAGGCGAGGUUUGCCCCAGCACUUUUCAGUCACUUUUUAUUUUAUUGAACUAAAUCAAGAGUGCAAAGUGCGUUUCUUUUGGCCGAUUUGCCUCAUGAUUUGUCAACUCUCCCACAAUUUCUCUGUCCUUCACAUAGGAGUGCUGCUGCAGGCUUUGUGAGUGUCUUGACCAAUCAGAAUAAUGGAAAUUGCAGGUCAUGUGGGCCGGGCACAAUGCACAAAGCUGAACGCACACUCUCCACUUACCUCCGGUAUUUAUUCAGCAAGAGUGAUAACAUCACUCCAGACAAGUAAAAACUCUUAAAUGUAAAUGUCGCAGCCUACAGUAUACUGCCACACCCUGAUCUGUUUCACCUGUCUUUGUGCUUGUCUCCAACCCCUUCCAGGUGUCACCCAUCUUCACCAUUAUCCCCAGUGUACUUAUACCUCUGUUUUCUGUUUGCCAGUUCGUUUUGUUUCAUCAAGCCUUCCAGCGGUUUUUCCCAUGCUCCUGUCCAUCUCUAGUUCCUGUUUUCUAGCCUUCCUGGAUUUUGACCAUUCUGCUUGCCUUGACCCUGUGCCUGCAUGUCGUUCUGUACCUUGUUAUACCACCCUGGACUACUGACCCCUGCCUGCCCUGACCCUGAGCCUGCCUGCCGUUCUGUACCUUUCGGACUCUGCUCUGGACUACUGACCUCUGCCUGCCCUUGACCUGUCGUUUGCCUGCCCCUGUUUUUGUAAUAAACUUUUGUUACAUCGAAACUGUCUGCAUCUGGGUCUUCUCCUGGGCCUUGACAUGUACACCUAAACAUUAGCGAUCCGACAUGCUGUAUUGCAUGGAAACUCUGGUACUGGUACUCCCUAUAUAUAGCUCCAUUCUUGUGUAUUUUAUUUUAUUCCUCUCGUGUUACAAUUUGCACAAUUUCCAACUCUGCAUUGUUGGGAAGGGCUAAUAAGCCGGCAUUUCACCACCAAUCUGCACCAAAUCUGUAUUCGGCGCAUGUGACAAAUAAAAUGCGAUUUGAUAAUGAGGCUAUUUUUUAAGUCUGAUCAACUGUAGGCUACUAGCAACAGCGGCUGCAUAGUCUAGCCUACUACGUACCCUGUCCCUCUGGCCAGGUAAAACAACGCAGUAACAUUUUGUUUGUGAGAAAAUGUGAACAGGAUCAAAUUUGGCUUAUAUUCAAACUUGACAAGGCUACCUAGUCUUAAUUCAUCAAUAAACACCAUGGCUGACAGACUGAUUUUUAAAUGUUUUAUUAGGCCUACAGUUGAAUAGGGCAGGACUAGCCUACACGAUGCAAACCUGCAUAAAGCAAGCUAGGCCCUGUGAGUUUUAUUGUUCAAUGAUGUUGCGUUCUGUGUCUAGGAAACCCCCCUAGUCCUUCUUUAACAUAUCAUUUAUAUGGACAAGUUUGCAGCAGUUUGACAGGGUUUUCAUCCAGGAAUUUUUUUAAAUCAUGUGACCUGAUUGUUUCUAAUCUGAUCCAAUCAUAGCCCAUAUUAAACCUUUUCACAGAUUAAUCACGUCAUACCGUAUAAGGUCUGGAGUUUUACCUGCUUGGGUUACCAGAUCAGGAAAAACUACAGGUCCCAGAUUUUUUUCGUGCCCCACACCACUUUGGGACCUGUGGUACCACCUCUUAAUAAUGCUAAAUAUGUGCUAAUAUAUGUGAAAUUCAACAAUUAUUUUGAUAUAAUUUCUCAAAGUAGAAAUACAUUUUUGAUAUUGAUCAUUUAAAAAAUAAUAAUAAUAAUUUACAUUUGUCACGUCCUGACCUUAGUUCCUUUUUUAUGUCUCUAUUUUAGUUUGGUCAGGGCGUGAGUUGGUGGGCAUUCUAUGUUUUCUAUCUCUAUGUAUUUGGCCUGGUACGAUUCCCAAUCAGAGGCAGCUGGCAAUCAUUGUCUCUGAUUGAGAACCAUACUUAGGUAGCAUGUUUUCCCAUUUUGAGUUUUGAGUGAUUAUUUUCUGUUUAGUGUUGUGUGUGAGUAGUACAUGACAGAACUGUUGCGUUUUGUUCUAUUUUUGUUUUGCUGGUUUUAAUAAACAACAUGGACACUUACCACACUGUGCAUUGGUCAGAUAUUUCCUACUCCUCAGAAGAUGAGGAGAAUCGUUACAACAUUUUUCAUAUCAACGAUUAAAAUGUUUUGUAUCGAUAAUUUUAAACAUUUGAUAUAAAAAAAUCUUAUUGAUAUAAAACAUUGGUUUCUCCAUUGAAUGCUAUGGGGAAUUAAUUUCUAUUAAAAAAUAUAUAAUAAAAACAUUCAGUAGACGGAAUCAGGCUUUGAGAUCAAUUUUUUAAUUUCUCUAUGCAAGUCAGUUAAGAACUAAUUCUUAUUUACAAUGAUGGCUUACCCCAGCCAAACCCUGAUGACGUUGGGCCAAUUGUGUGCCGCAAUAAGGGACUCCCAAUC